GAAAGAGAAAAUAAUUAACUAAAUUAGACUGAUACAGUAUACUUGAAAUUGCAUAGGGAAGGAAGCACCUGCUCUUAGUAAUCUAAGAAAUACUGGCUGUUUAAAGGAUUGAGGUUUCUAAGAAUAAGGGAUUACUGAGUAGAAGGUCUGAGGCAUGGUUAUGCAUUUUUAAAGGACAUAGAAAGAAGGUUUAAAGGCUAAUUUGAAAGUAUGAAAUUUAUAAAGGUUGUGUAUGUGAUAAGAA